GCAGGCAUAGUUUAACUAAAAUAUUAGAUUGUGAUUCUAAAGAAAGACGUUAGACUCGUCUUGCCCGCC
rnacentral:tRNA from 1 species